rnacentral:rRNA from 1 species
AACGAACGCUGGCGGCGUGGAUAAGACAUGCAAGUCGAACGGAGCAGGUAGCAAUAUCUGCUUAGUGGCGAACGGGUGCGUAACACGUGGGCAACAUGCCUGAAAGCGCGGGAUAGCCCGGGGAAACCCGGAUUAAUACCGCAUGUGACUUGAAAGCGGCUUCGCUUUCUUUUCAAAGGUGGGGACCGCAAGGCCUGCCGCUUUCAGAUUGGCCCGCGUCCUAUCAGCUAGUUGGUGAGGUAACGGCUCACCAAGGCAACGACGGGUAGCUGGUCUGAGAGGACGACCAGCCACACUGGAACUGAGACACGGUCCAGACACCUACGGGUGGCAGCAGUCGAGAAUCUUUCACAAUGGGGGAAACCCUGAUGGAGSGACGCCGCGUGGAGGAUGAAGGUCUUCGGAUUGUAAACUCCUGUCAUGAAAGAACAAGCAAUGCGGGUGAACAGCCUGCAACGU